UGGCUGUCACAGGCUAAUAGCACCAGUUGCUUUCCAUUGCCCUAAGGAAUGAUUCUACUGCGGCAACGAGACCAAAAACAACGAAAGUAUUGAUGCUGCAAAAGAAGACGGAUCUUUUGGUAGGCUGGUUAAUGAUUACCACAGGCACCCAAAUGGCAGAAUGCAGAAGACUGAAGUGGACGGAAGCCCACAUCUUGGUCUGUUUGCUUUAACAGACUUUAAAGAAGGUGAUGAAAUUACCUACAAUUACGGUGGAGGAGACUGGCCUUGGGGUAGCAAGAUUAUGGAGGAGGACACUGCUGAGAGCAAUGGCCAGGAGAAACAGCAGCCAUCACAGUCUACACCUUUUCUGGAUCAUAAAUAUCAGAAUUGUGUAGUUUGCUGACACUUUUAAUCCUGCCUUUCAAUCACACCUCUCCAUAAUUUCCAACAUAAGCAUCCCCUGGGACUCAGUAGGUUCCCUACUGCAUCUUCUCCAAGAAAACCGAGUACUCUUAGUUACUAUUUGGUACAUAUGCACAAACUGCAGUCAGAGUUUUCAUUUGUGAGACGUGAAAUGUAAGUUCCAGUCUGUAAAACAUCUACUCUGAAAAAGAGGAAGGCUCGGGAAGGAAAUGAGGUCCAUGCAGUGGAGAGACAUAUGGAGACCUUCAUCAUGUCAUGUCGUGUCCCAGGGAAGUUGGUCUGUGAAAACUGCAUUAGAUCUGAGUCUUUAUAUCUUAAAGAUAGAGACUGGCAAAGUGUCAAAUUCUACGUCUAUAACUGCACUGUAGCUUACAAGAGAGAUAUAAACAAAGAUUAAAUAACACUUUGAUAGUAACACUUUACAUCUAUAUUACAGAUACUGUACAUCAUAGCAUCUGUAGUAAUGCUUUAAUAAUAAGUUACGUUACACCUCUACCCUUUUACUUUGUAAUGAACCGCUCAGCAUUUACUUCAUAAUAAACUAAUCAGGAACAAAUCAGGCAUUUAAAAUAUCCAUUAGAAUCUUUACCUACACCGUUAUAUUGAAUUAGAUCAAAUUGGUUUGGGCCGCCUUCUUCCAGUGG